GAUGAACGCUGGCGGCGUGCCUAAUACAUGCAAGUCGAGCGAGCGGCGGACGGGUGAGUAAUGUCUGGGAAACUGCCUGAUGGAGGGGGAAAACUAAUGGCAAAGGUAGCUAAUAACGCAUACCAUACGAUGUGCCCAGAUGGGAUUAGCUAGUAGGGGGGGUAAUGGCUCAACUAGGCGACGAUCCCUAGCUGGUCUGAGAGGAUGACCAGCCACACUGGAACUGAGACACGGGCCAGACUCCGACGGGAGGCAGCAGUGGGGAAUAUUGCACAAUGGGCGCAAGCCUGAUGCAGCCAUGCCGCGUGUGUGAAGAAGGCCUUCGGGUUGUAAAGCACUUUCAGCGAGGAGGCGUUACUCGCAGAAGAAGCACCGGCUAACUCCGUGCCAGCCGCCGCGGUAAUAC
rnacentral:rRNA from 1 species